rnacentral:lncRNA from 1 species
GUUAACUUACAGUGCACUCUUUAAUUACCCCGAAAAACUUUAAUCUGUAACAGAUUGUAACCUAAUUGAAAUUGAUGACUUGAUUGUAUCAUUUAGAAUUAGUCAUUUCUAUCUAUGUUAGUAAUCCUGCAGUUCACUCUUGCCUAUGUGGUCCAUUGGUGGGAUCAAUGUCAGACACAUAAACUGAGUUUUUUAUGCUGCCCCGGCUUUGGUGUGCAGUGUUCUUUCUUAUUAAUUUUUUGUUUUUCCAAGUGUUUCAGGGGAAGGAACAGGUUGUUGAUGUCCACCAUGAUGCUGGUUCAUGUGGUUCUGACAUUUCUUCUGGAUUUUCUGAAAGAUUUGUGCAAUGGGUUAGCUAUAGAAACAUGUUUUUCCCUUGAGGUUGGGAAGAUUCCUGGAAAAUUUGUAUUCUUGCCAUUAUUCCAUUAAACUCGUCCAAAGGAUGUGGAUUACCUACCUGAAACAAAUGACAUAAGAUGUCAUAGGGGGUAAAGUUGAAGAACUUUGUUACAAGAUAGAUUUAUCCAAACCAAGGUACCCUCAAGUUGUAAAUUGCAGCAUUUAUUUACCGGUUAAACUAGAUCCUACAGUGGGAAAAAGUAUGGAAAGCAAAGCAUACAAGUAGGAAUAAAGUAUUCUUUUUGUAGCUCUUAGGUCAUUUCUUGAAGUUUUCAGUCUUGUAAAUAUUUCGUAGGUGUAGGUGUGACUAAAUUAAAUUUCUGUAAUAUAUUCGUCGUACAUUUCGUGGGAUUUUCUUUUCAUGCUGUACUAGCUUCUUUGUUAAAAUAUAACCUAAUUGAAAUUGAUGACUUGAUUGUAUCAUUUAGAAUUAGUCAUUUCUAUCUAUGUUAGUAAUCCUGCAGUUCACUCUUGCCUAUGUGGUCCAUUGGUGGGAUCAAUGUCAGACCACAUAAACUGAGUUUUUUAUGCUGCCCCGGCUUUGGUGUGCAGUGUUCUUUCUUAUUAAUUUUUUGUUUUUCCAAGUGUUUCAGGGGAAGGAACAGGUUGUUGAUGUCCACCAUGAUGCUGGUUCAUGUGGUUCUGACAUUUCUUCUGGAUUUUCUGAAAGAUUUGUGCAAUGGGUUAGCUAUAGAAACAUGUUUUUCCCUUGAGGUUGGGAAGAUUCCUGGAAAAUUUGUAUUCUUGCCAUUGUUCCAUUAAACUCGUCCAAAGGAUGUGGAUUACCUACCUGAAACAAAUGACAUAAGAUGUCAUAGGGGGUAAAGUUGAAGAACUUUGUUACAAGAUAGAUUUAUCCAAACCAAGGUACCCUCAAGUUGUAAAUUGCAGCAUUUAUUUACCGGUUAAACUAGAUCCUACAGUGGGAAAAAGUAUGGAAAGCAAAGCAUACAAGUAGGAAUAAAGUAUUCUUUUUGUAGCUCUUAGGUCAUUUCUUGAAGUUUUCAGUCAUGUAAAUAUUUCGUAGGUGUAGGUGUGACUAAAUUAAAUUUCUGUAAUAUAUUCGUCGUACAUUUCGUGGGAUUUUCUUUUCAUGCUGUACUAGCUUCUUUGUUAAAAUCUUUCUGCAAUAUUUCCUUCUACUGCAGGUGCCAUAAUCAACCGUGGAUCCUAACAUCGACCCAGCAAUAAUCUUUUGGUGGAUUGUUGGUGAAAUUUUACGUUGACUAAAUUUUAUUCUGUGCUAACGAUGUGCAGAGUUUGUUAAAAGUUUAAUAAACACAUUUAAUUGAUGAAUGAAUUAAUUGAAAAAUAUUUAAAAAC